UGCCGGCGACCGGCGACGGGUGCGUAACGCGUAUGUAACCUACCUUUGACAGGGGGAUAACAUCGAGAAAUCGGUACUAAUACCCCAUAACAUCACCGGAGGCAUCUUCGGUGGUUGAAAACUCAGGUGGUCAGAGAUGGACAUGCGUUGUAUUAGCUAGUUGGUGAGGUAACGGCUCACCAAGGCGACGAUACAUAGGGGGACUGAGAGGUCAACCCCCCACAUUGGUACUGAGACACGGACCAAACUCCUACGGAAGGCAGCAG
rnacentral:rRNA from 1 species